AAGACUAUAGACCUGCGGAGUACCUGCGGAAGGAUCAUUAACAAAUCCAAUAGUUGCGCUGGUAGUGAUACCUCGCAAAUAUUAAACCGCCGGUUUUCGAACUGGCUGGUAAAUAUAAAUGCAUGUUGUGUUGACAGUGUGUGUAAUUAAAAAAAUUUAUUGACAACUUUCAACAACGGAUCUCU
rnacentral:misc_RNA from 1 species